rnacentral:rRNA from 1 species
AACGAACGCUGGCGGCAUGCCUAACACAUGCAAGUCGAACGAGACCUUCGGGUCUAGUGGCGCACGGGUGCGUAACGCGUGGGAAUCUGCCCUUGGGUUCGGAAUAACAGUUAGAAAUGACUGCUAAUACCGGAUAAUGUCUUCGGACCAAAGAUUUAUCGCCCAGGGAUGAGCCCGCGUAGGAUUAGCUAGUUGGUGAGGUAAAGGCUCACCAAGGCGACGAUCCUUAGCUGGUCUGAGAGGAUGAUCAGCCACACUGGGACUGAGACACGGCCCAGACUCCUACGGGAGGCAGCAGUGGGGAAUAUUGGACAAUGGGCGAAAGCCUGAUCCAGCAAUGCCGCGUGAGUGAUGAAGGCCUUAGGGUUGUAAAGCUCUUUUACCCGGGUAUGAUAAUGACAGUACCGGGAGAAUAAGACCCCGGCUAACUCCGUGCCA